AGCCUUGUUGAUCACACAAAGCCUGUUUGGUGGUCUCUUCACAUGGACACGAGUGAAAUUUGGUGCCGUGACUCAGAUCGGGGAACCUCCCUUAGGAGAUCAUUCCCCUGUCCUCCUGCUCUUUGUUCCAUGAGCAAGAUCCACGUACAACUUCUGGUCCUCAGACCAAGCAGCCCAGGGAACAUCUCACCAAUUUUAAAUCCGAUUUCUGCAUCCUGUCAGUCAUGAUGAUAAAGGAUUUACUACCUCAGUCAUGUCACCACUCUUGAAUAUCAUUCCCAUGGCAUGGUGCGGUAGGAACUGGAACACAUACUUUCAGAAAUGACUGCUGGGAAGAAUUGGAAAGGGACUGGAAGCAAUGACGGCUAAAGAAUCUCGAGAAGGAAGACAGAC